CAGUGGGCAGUUGGGGGAAUUCUUCCAACAGCCUCAGAAUGUCCGUUUUUCCCCAUUGGGCUUAAGAGGGAAGUUGAGAGAGGGCUUCCGGUAAGAGGCAGGUAGUAGGGUUAGUUCCUGCUGAUCAACAGAGCAAAAUAAACAAGAAGCAGGGGAUUUGGGAACUUCUUUCACAAAGGGCUGAAAGAACACAUGGAGGAAAAACAUGAAACUUCCAAGAGUACAGUCCUAUGAGCAAAAACUGCAGACAUCUUUGAGCGAUAGAAGAGACAACUGGGCCGGGGGCCAGUUCAGUGCGGACCUACAUUUCAACCACCAUGAUGAAGGAGAGCUGUAUGUGGUGCCCUGUGGAUGGUGCAGGUGAGACGUCCAAAGACAGCAUCGCUCACACUGCUCAGGACGGAUGAGGUACUGAAGGAGGCCAGAUUGGAGGAGCCAGCCUGGGCAGGGCUGUGGCUGUUUCAGGGCAAGUAACUCGUUGCUGUUGGCUGUUUGGGUCCAUACUUCCCUUAUGAGCUGUAAGAACUCACUGUGAAGGUCUGCAGCUUCACUCCUGUAAGCCAUCAAGACCAAUUGGGAGGAACGAACAACUCCAGACGCGCGGCAUUAAGAGCUGUAACACUCACUGCGAUGAUCUGUAGCUUCAUUCCUGAAGCCAACAAGGCCACUAAACCCACCAGAAGGAAGAAAGUCCGAACAUCAGAAGGAACAAACUCCGGACACGCUGCCUUUUAAGAAUUGUAACACUCACCGCGAGGGUCCUUGGCUUCAUUCUCGAAGUCAGUGAGACUAAGAACCCGCCAAUUCCGGACGUAUUAGGAUACACGGUGGCCUGCCAGCACCUAGGAGGGGUUGUAUGUGCAGUGAGUUUACUGAAGUUGUGUACUUGCUCAUUUGAGGCAUUUUUCCCUUACCAAGCGAGUGUUCCUAGAGGAGAGUCAUAGAUCAGUUAAACUUGGUCAUUUUGCCUCUGAGAGCUCAUGUGUAGGCCCACUCGCCUAACUCCUGAGAUCUUAUGAGGAAGCUGCUGCUGAUCACCAGCUUCAGGUGUUUUCUAUCUAUUGGGAGACUGCCUUUUCUUGGCACCAGCUGUGACCAGUUAUUAUUUUAGAGAGACAGUGUAGCAACUGCCGGACAAUCACCUGAUGGUCACUGGACAUUGCUGGUGGGAGGGACCCCUCCCCAUCCCUGCUUGUAUCUGCCUGACUACUUGCUCUAACAUCCCUACACUGGCUGCCCAGGAUAUCAGACGUUCUGGCUCUCCACCUGGGAGCCCAACUCAUGUUUUUGUUUUCUUCCAUCCAUGAAGCAAGUUUGACAAGCACUACAGCCCAUCAGCUCCUGCUGGUGACUCCUGACGGCCAUGAGCACCAGGACCCUGAGAAGCCGUGUUUGAAAGGCUUUUGACAUGCUGUCUGUAAUAGGCGGAAUAAUGACCUCCCAAAGAUGUCCACAGCUUAAUCCUCAGAACCUGUGAAUAUGUUUCAUCGCAUGGCAAAGGGGAAAUAAGGUUGCAGAUGGAAUUAAGGUUGUCAAUCAACUGACCUUAACAUAGAGAGAUCAUUCUGGAUUAUCUGGGUGGGCCCAGUGUAAUCACAAGGGCCCUUAAGAGUAGCAGAGGGAGCAGAAUAAAAGGUUGAAAUGAUUUGAUGAGAGAUGGACUCAAUCAGACAUUGCUGGUUCUGAAGAUGGAAUGGAGCCGAAAGCCAAAGAAUGCAGGCAGCCCCUAGAAGCUGGAAAAGGCAAGGAAACAGAUUCCGCCUAGAGCCUUCAGAAAGCAAUGCACUUCUGCCAACAUCUUGAUUUUAGCUCAGUGAGACUAGCAUCAUGUGUCUAAACUAUAGAACUGUAAGAGAAUAAAUGUGUGUUGUCUUAAGCCACUAUGUUUGUGGUGAUUUGUUACAGCAACAACAGAAAACAAAUACACAUGCUGUCCCUCUGCCUGGAAGACCCUUCUCCGUCUUGGUUGUCAACUCCUCAGAUCUUAGCCCAAGUGCCAUUUCCUCAAGGAGUUCUCUUCAGAGCCUCCUGACUGUAUUAUACUUUCCUUUACAAUAGCCAUUCAAAGCUUCAUUUUCCUCUCCUUUUAAAAUAAUUUGCUAUCAUUCCAGCUAUGUGUUUGUUUAUAUGACGGGCAGCAUGGCAUGCUGGUUAAAAGCAUAGAUGGGCCCUGUAGCCCGGUGGCUUAUGCCUGAAUCCUGCCUCCACUACCUGUUGUCUGUGUGAUCUUGUGCAAGUUACUUAACCUCUCUACAUAUUGCCUCAAUGAUCUCACUGAUGACCCAGGAAUAAUAGUACCUUCCCAUAGGACUAUUGUAAGAAUUAAAUGAAUAUUGCCUCAGUGAUCUCACUGAUGAC